UAAUUUCUCGACACAAGGAGUGCUGUUCUUUGGAAAAAAAAAAAAAAAAAAACACUCUGUUCUUUGUGGAUGGGUCUUGCUCCGCUUGAUGAUUUACUGCUCAGAUCUCAUGAGAAGAAUAUCUCAGCUCUUUCAUAAUUUGCUGAACCUGGUAGAGUUCCAAGUACUAGCAGGAUCCAUCCAUGACUGUGUAGUGUAAGCAGCAGGUUCUUCAGUUGCUAAGUAUAUUUAGCUAUUAUAGAAUGUAGACCUAGGACUUGGAUUUGAGUAGAAGAACAACCAUUGCAGACCCAGUGGGAAUUCUUCUUAUCUUUUUCUUUGAAUUUAAUUUCUCUUUUAAUUUUUUUAAUUGCAGAUCCAUAGGAGGUGAUGAUUCAAUAUUUGUUGUAAAAUAUUUGAGAAAAAGAAGAUUGGGAGUGCCAUCUCAUAUUUUGGAUGUGAUUUUUUUUUU